rnacentral:rRNA from 1 species
UCCAGACUCCUACGGGAGGCAGCAGUGGGGAAUAUUGCACAAUGGGGGAAACCCUGAUGCAGCAACGCCGCGUGAGUGAGGAAGUAUUUCGGUAUGUAAAGCUCUGUCAGCAGGGAAGAAGAAAGACGGUACCUGACCAAGAAGCCCCGGCUAACUACGUGCCAGCAGCCGCGGUAAUACGUAGGGGGCAAGCGUUAUCCGGAUUUACUGGGUGUAAAGGGAGCGUAGACGGCACGGCAAGUCAGAUGUGAAAGCCCGGGGCUCAACCCCGGGACUGCAUUUGAAACUGUCAGGCUGGAGUGCAGGAGAGGUAAGUGGAAUUCCUAGUGUAGCGGUGAAAUGCGUAGAUAUUAGGAGGAACACCAGUGGCGAAGGCGGCUUACUGGACUGUAACUGACGUUGAGGCUCGAAAGCGUGGGGAGCAAACAGGAUUAGAUACCCGAGUA